rfam:Vitrella brassicaformis CCMP3155 genome assembly, contig: scaffold380
GGGCAGUUAGCUCAGGUGGUAGAGCACCUGCCUUACAAGCAGGGGGCCACUGGUUCGAAUCCGGUACUGCCCA